CCCCCCCCUCACGAUUUCGAAUCGGUUUUCCAAUUUUUGAUAUUUUUUCGUUUUAGGGAAUUUCCCCUCAGGAUUUCGAAUCGGUUCUCCAAUUUUCGAUAUUUUUUCGUUUUAGGGAAUUUUCUUGCUUUUACGAUUUAUCUAAUUUUCCACCCAAUCGAUCCCAGUGGCCCCAAAAAUCACAGAAGGUUAACUAAGGUCAAACAGACACAAAAGAGUAUCCUGCAGAUUUAUUAUAAACUCGUCUUUUACAAGGUGCAAGCCAUCAACAAGGAUUUAAGUAAAAUCAGUUGAAAUAGUACUCAACAAUUACUUCACAAGGGUUUUGAGGCAAACCCUUUGGCCACAAACAUACAACACAAACACAAGAAUAAUAAGAAGAAGAAAUGAGAGUAAGGAUCCCUCACUCUCCGACUGCCUAAACACCCACAUGUGAAUAGUCCCCCUAUCUCAAAUUUGCAUAUCGAUUAAUUUUUUUCCAUUUGGGAUCUUUCUCUUUGCUCCUUCCUAUGCUUUCUCUAGGUUCUACCUAUUUGCCUCUUUUGUCCGAGUUUUACAAGUGCGGACAAAACUUUCCCCCCAGCUUAUCUAUUUAUUUACCCUAAUUUGGUUCAUUCUCCUUUCACCCAUCAAUUCUCCUUACACCCCUACUCUUUCUAUUUUCUAAAACUCUAUUUUAUUUUAAUUUCUAUAUUAUCUAUUAUUCAAUUAUUUUCUUAAAUCUCACCACAUCCUCAACUUUUACUCAAUUCACCCCUUACUCCCUAAUUUUAAUAAAAAUUCUAUUUUUCUCCCAACUCUAAAAUAUCUCUAAUUGUUCUGAUAUCAAUUAAAUUAAAUAAAUUAAUAAUAAUUCAAAUAAAAUACAUAUAUCAUUCAAAUAAGUAAAAUAAAAUAAUAUAAAUUUAAUUAAAAAUAAAUAAUUAAAGUUAAGGUGUUACAAAUGCCAUAUAUAACUAGGCAUGAGAUGGAGAGGUUGGUGUUAAAUUAAGCUAUUGAAGUUAUGAAAAAAGUGGCACCUCUAGUGAUCUUUUAAUUAAAACACUUGCUAUUUUAAUUGAUAUUUUUGUUACUUUCAUUAUUGUGUAUUUUAACCAUUAUAUUGUUUAUUUUUUGUUGAAGUUGUAUGGUUUAAAAUGAUAUAUGAUGGAAGUUUCGCUUCUCAAUGAUGCAGUUUCUCAUAUUGUGAUGUCAUAAUGGAAGCUAACCAAUGUUCUUGAAAUGAAAGCCUCUAUUUCCUUUUUCCUUUUGAUUUUAUUACUUCCUAUACUUCAAUAUCUUGCCACAUUAAUGCAUUACUCUAUGCACUCUGCAUUCUCUGUACUCUGUCUCUAAUGAAAAACAAUUGUUCAAAAGGUAUGCUUACAGAUAACACAAUCACUAUAUGCUUAUAAAUUAUUUGUUUAGAAUUUAGAUGAAGUAAUCACGAUAUGGAGAUAACACGUAUGAUGCAUUUAA